GGGGAUUUCGAAGAGAAAACGCAUGAUUUUCUGGUUAAAUGGGGGAUUUGCGAAGAGAAAACGCAUGAUUUUUGCUUAAAUGGGGGAUUUGUGAAAACAAAACGCGUGAUUUUCACUUAAAUGGGGGAUUUGCGAAGAGAAAACGCGUGAUUUUCAAGUUAAAUGGAGGAUUUCCGAAGAGAAAACGCAUGAUUUUCUGGUUAAAUGGAGGAUUUCCGAAGAGAAAACGCAUGAUUUUCUGGUUAAAUGGGGGAUUUCCGAAGAGAAAACGCAUGAUUUUUGCUUAAAUGGGGGAUUUGAGAAAACGCGUGAUUUUCGCUUAAAUGUUGGAUUCUCGAAGAGAAAACACGUGAUUUUCACUUAAAUGGGGGAUUUGCGAAGAGAAAAC
ensembl:lncRNA